UCAGCAGCAACAAUAGGAAGCUGGUCAUUGCUGGUGGUUGACCGGAAGAUGAAUGCAAGGAAAUUUUCGACCACACCAUAAAGCAAUGCAUGGCCAAUGGGGACAACGAAUAGGUCCUGCAGGCUGACAUACUGCAACUUGGCAAAGGGUACGGACUUCCAGCACCCAUGCUCAUUUGAUGCACGCUCAUAUGCCGUGGCACUCAAUGUGGGGUUAGGGAGGCAGUGAGCAUGGAAAUGGUUGUCCAUGCUGACCCCUCGAGCCCGCUGCAUGCUGUCAGUGAGCCCCAAGCAAGGGUCCCCGACCUGGACUGGUACGCCGUUAAAUCUGUAUGCAUGUCACAGUAAAGGGGACCAUGAACUUGUAGGAAUGUGCACAGGGAUGGUCACAUUCUCACAGUUGCACCAAGCUUAAGUGUGCCCAAUAUGAAGCCCCAGCAGGCAAAUGUUUUACAAACUCCUUUGAUUCAAGCACCAAGGUGACAUUAGGUGUAACACAGCAAAGGCGUAACCCGGGAUGCUCAGAUUGGCAUUUGCGUCGUUACAUUGCCCCCCACUUAGCAAUGGACGUCCUCGACCGACCCGAUGUUUGUUACAGAAAUCGUGUGGUCCCGUCUCGAUACCAUUGCAACACAGCAAAGGCAUAACCUGGGAUGUUCAGCUUGGCAAUUGCGUCGUUACAUUAGGGCAUUCAGGCUACAGGCCUCCAGAUAUCUAAUGACCCAUUUUGCAUGACACCCACUCACCUGCUGUGUGUCACCCCUUUGGCAUAUCCCUUGAAACGAGCUGUGCUACUCUCUGGUGCAGUGGCACCCUCGAAUGUACACCAGGGGCAGGCCCCAUGUAUGGAGUUGUGGCCCCUGUAGCAUCCAAGGUCGGUCCUUGCUGGCCCAUCCGCCAUUACAGAACCAAGGAAGGCAUGGUGGGAGAUCGUGUUGCAGAUGAGGGAGCCAUCUGGUCCAUAGUACACCUCAUCGACUGUCAUGGGAAUUCUAGACAGCCUGUCCAGGUCAUCGAUCACCCUACUGAGAUGAGGUCCAAGAUUGCUUGGCUUUUUGGGGCCAGGGAUGAUACCAAUAACUGCACAGUUCCAGUUCUUGCUCUUAUUUUCUUCCUUUAUGUCCGCACAGCGGAUAAACAUGAUGCCCAUGGAAUACUUGGCGCUCUUGUAUGGCUGUACCCAAUCAACACCAAUGUCGUAAAAUGAGUUGUGUGGGCUGUAUACAGCAUCACCAAGCUUGUCUGGCCUGGACAGGUGUGUCUUCAAGUAGGUGCCUGGAAAGCAAGGGAGACAAGUCAGCUGAGGUUGUAUGACAUAAGGACAUGUGAGUAAUAGGUUGUAGGGAUGGGCACCUAUGUGUUG
rnacentral:lncRNA from 1 species